GUGUGGGAUGUGUGUCUAAACACGACAAUCUGAAGACAGAGGUGUAGAAAUUGGCAAGUUUCCUAAAGCAUGACAACACA
ensembl:snoRNA SNORD63 Small nucleolar RNA SNORD63